rnacentral:rRNA from 1 species
AACGAACGCUGGCGGCAUGCCUAACACAUGCAAGUCGAACGAGACCUUCGGGUCUAUUGGCGCACGGGUGCGUAACGCGUGGGAACCUGCCCUUAGGUUCGGAAUAACUCCCCGAAAGGGGUGCUAAUACCGGAUAAUGUCUUCGGACCAAAGAUUUAUCGCCUUUGGAUGGUCCCGCGUUGGAUUAGCUUGUUGGUAGGGUAAAAGCCUACCAAGGCGCCGAUCCAUAGCUGGUGUGAGAGGAUGAUCAGCCACACUGGGACUGAGACACGGCCCAGACUCCUACGGGAGGCAGCAGUGGGGAAUAUUGGACAAUGGGCGAAAGCCUGAUCCAGCAAUGCCGCGUGAGUGAUGAAGGCCUGAGGGUUGUAAAGCUCUUUUACCCGGGAUGAUAAUGACAGUACCGGGAGAAUAAGCUCCGGCUAACUCCGUG